AUUGAACGCUGGCGGCAUGCCUUACACAUGCAAGUCGAACGGCAGCGCGGGGCAACCUGGCGGCGAGUGGCGAACGGGUGAGUAAUAUAUCGGAACAUACCCUAGAGUGGGGAUAACGUAGCGAAAGUUACGCUAAUACCGCAUACGCACUAAGGUGGAAAGUGGGGGAUUCGCAAGAACCUCAUGCUCAUGGAGUGGCCGAUAUCUGAUUAGCUAGUUGGUGAGGUAAAGGCUCACCAAGGCAACGAUCAGUAGCUGGUUUGAGAGAACGACCAGCCACACUGGAACUGAGACACGGUCCAGACUCCUACGGGGGGCAGCAGUGGGGAAUUUUGGACAAUGGGGGCAACCCUGAUCCAGCAAUGCCGCGUGAGUGAAGAAGGCCUGGUGUAAG
rnacentral:rRNA from 1 species